UAUUAGCCCCGAUUGUAGCGGCAUCUCCCGAUUUUUCUUCGGGAAUAUAGCGAAAAGCGGGACAAAAA
rnacentral:sRNA from 1 species